GUGGUUUGUUUGGUAAAUAUCUAAUAGUUGUUAGCUGUUUGCAAUAAUAAGUUUGACUAGUUAAUAGCAUUAGCGGAUUGUAGAAAGAUGUUUGGUAAAUAAGUUGUUAGCUGAUAGAUGCAUACAUGCAAAAUGACUUUCUCACAAAGCUAAUCGAAAAAGCUGCUUUAAGCAA